CACUGGAAUGUUCCUUUCUUCCUGUGUCACUGUGCUGUGGGGAGUAGUGAACGCUCUUGCAAAGGACCAGGCCAGCCACUGUUUUACUGUUAGUUUUUGGGUUUGUUUGUUUGCUUUCAUUUUGUUUGUCUUUUUGUUUGUUUGCAUUGUCUCUCUAUAACUGCUUGUGCUGGGAGCUGGCUGUUCCUCUUUUGUCCUAUCAUAGGCUGUCUUUGUACAAGGCCGGAUCCGCAACUCAGUACUGCUCCUUUCGGGUUGGGUGCCACAUGGAGGGAGAUAUUUUCUCGGUGUGUACUGGUAAACAACACAGUGUGGUAUUUUGUAGUGGCAUCCUGUAGUGGUAUUUACUUCUUGUGUUUGCAGUGCUUACCGUGUUGCAUUCUUUUGUGGUGCUGGGUUUGCUGUCUCUCUCUCUCCCUCUCUCACCAGGGCCCCUCUCCAAGACGGGAGCUGUGUGUGCUGACCCGACCUUAUUAGCCUGAGGAGUCUCAGCCAGUUAUCCCAUGCAGUCUUUCUUACUUACAUUCUGGAUUGUAUUUAUACUAUUUGUAAUAAAUUUGAGUAUUUCGCAUA